rnacentral:rRNA from 1 species
AGAGUUUGAUCAUGGCUCAGGACGAACGCUGGCGGCGUGCCUAAUACAUGCAAGUCGAGCGGACCGAACGAGAGCUUGCUCUUGUUCGGUCAGCGGCGGACGGGUGAGUAACACGUGGGCAACCUGCCCGCAAGACCGGGAUAACUCCGGGAAACCGGAGCUAAUACCGGAUAACACCAAAGACCGCAUGGUCUUUGGUUGAAAGGCGGCUUCGGCUGUCACUUGCGGAUGGGCCCGCGGCGCAUUAGCUAGUUGGUGAGGUAACGGCUCACCAAGGCGACGAUGCGUAGCCGGCCUGAGAGGGUGACCGGCCACACUGGGACUGAGACACGGCCCAGACUCCUACGGGAGGCAGCAGUAGGGAAUCUUCCGCAAUGGACGAAAGUCUGACGGAGCGACGCCGCGUGAGCGAAGAAGGCCUUCGGGUCGUAAAGCUCUGUUGUGAGGGACGAAGGAGCGCCGUUUGAAU